GUAUGUACCAUGUUGUGUUGUCAUUGAAAUUACGUUAUCCUCCAGGUGGAGGAUAUCUCUAGGUCAAUCGCCAUAGACGUGGACUAUGUGGGCACCAUGGAUUUUGAUAUGGAAGUUGAAGAUAAGAACUUCCUCAUGAGGCAAGGGGCAGUAGCGACCGUUGCCUUCCUGGAGGAGAGGAAGGAGAAAAAGGACGAGGAAAAGGUUGAGAUGAAAAAUGAGACGAAAGAUGAGAAGGAAAAGGUGGAUAUGUAGGUUGAGAAGUAGGAUAAGAAGAAGGGUGAGGAGUAUAAAAAGGAUGAGACAACGGAUGAAAUUAAGAAUGAUAAAUAGGAUAAGAAGGAAGGAUGAGAAGUUGAAUGUGAAGUAGGAAGAGAUGUACGAUGAGAAGAAAGAUGAGAAGGGGGAUGGGGGGAGGGUGAGAAGGACGAUGAGAUGCAGGAUGAGAUGAACGGUGAGAAGAAAAAUGAGAAUGAGGAUGAGAAGAAGGAUGAGAAGGAGGGUGAGAAGUAGGAUGAGAUAUUGGGUGAAAAGUAGGAUGAGAAGAAAUAUGAGUAAGGUAAGAUGUAGGGUGAGAAGUAGGAUAAGAUGUCGGAUGAGAAGGAGGAUGAGAAGGAGGAUGAGAAGAAAGAUUAGAAGAAGGGUGAGAAGGAGGGUGAGAUGUAGGGUGAGAUGUAGGGUGAGAUGUAGGGUGAGAUGUAGGAUGAGAAGGAGGAAGAGAUGUAGGAUAAUAUGAGAAGUAUAGGAUGAGAGGGAAUGCUGAGAAGAAUAAUAUGUAGGAUGAGAAAAACGAUCAAACGUAGAUGAGAAGUAGAAUAAUAAGAAGAAUGAGAAGGAGGUUGAUAAGAAAGGCAGUAACAAUGUGGAUGAAUUGUGCAGCAUGCUUUAAAGUCUUGAUAGCAGCUGGCUUUCUAACUUUCAUAGGAAGACGCGCAAGGUGCCAUUUUUGUGAUUAUUUACUGAACUUGUACUAUGCAACUUAAAAGAGUGAUAAGGAAGUACAGAAGAUGAAAGUGUA